CGGUGCUUAUCGGCGAGCUCAAAGCGGAGCGUGAACCGAACCGAGCGACGGAGAAAUAUCCCCACUCUGUAGUAUCUCGAGGUUACGCAGUCAAAGCAUGCAUGUGUGACGUUCUCUGUCGAACGCCACACAUUCGUAUCACCUCGACCGCCGCAGCUCGAUUUCCCCUGCAAUGCUGCCCCACCACCUCGAAAGAGCGAAUCAGUAGAGUGACGUGCGCUCCCAAACAGUGUCGCUGUCAGACGCGCUCUUUGAGCCAGUUUCGUGCCCAUGCCUGCACUACUGGAUGAUGGGGAAAGUCUGAAGCGAUUCCUCUGUUGGAGAAUUUGUAUUUGCAUUAGAAGUGUUGUGACCUCCGGAAGACUGUCUGGACAAUUUAUCUUCUUUCGUUACCUGUACAUGCCGAGCCGAGUAAGUUGAAAAUGUAUACCGAGCCAUGAGAUCAAUACAAGUUUCGGAAAUAACAGCUUUACAUGCGUGUACCAGCGAUAUAUGAGUAAUCUGACAAGACAAGUGCUGUAACGGAACCGGACUAGCUGGUGGAGG